rnacentral:sRNA from 1 species
CUGAUAAUCCUGGAAAAUGACCUCUCUAUCCACAGAACAGAGCCAGCAUAGGUAGCAACAACAACAAAAACUUCCCAAUGUCUUGCUAAAAGUACCACACUGUUCUGGAAGGGACCACCUUUGGAAGCAAAGGUAGUUCAGUUUCCACUGUCCAUUUGAUCCUUAAUGGUU